CAUUUAACAUACAGUAGCGGACACUCAUUUUUUCUAACUUUAAGCCGAUGGCGCGUAUGCAAAAACUCAAGUCAGUUGGGAAACCUUUUUAUUGUGUAGAUAACGUCUCUUUUUCAUAAAAAAAAGCAAGAAGUUAAAAUAAAAAAAAUGUAUAAAAAAUUACUGAAGCCGACAGGGCAGCUAUAUUGGCAUUGAGUUCAGAAAACAUUCGUUUUGGCACUAUUAUCUUAAAACUUGGGAUGAGGAAGUUUUCUUUAAACAAUUUUAUGCACAAUUUCGAAAAACGCGGUUCGGUAAAACGACGUCCCCCCAGAAAAGGCGCCAAUGGUUAAAACUCAACGAAACUUUAAUUCAAGGAGGCAGCAGGUUUUUUGUUGAUGUUAUUUUUUUUUUUGAGUUGGGUAUCUGGCGCUAGUUGACGGAUAUGUAAGGUGGUAACGUGCAAACAAAUUUUAGAGGAAACCCUCAUUCCGUCUAAUGAGAACCACUUUCCGCUUGCUGACGCUCUCAUCUACUAGGAUGGUCAGGCAAGAUUGGUCAGGCAUAUUUUUUUCCACUUUUUAAUUGUAUUUUGUAAUGCUAUAUACAAAAAGUUUGAUUUUUCCAACAAUGGGUUCUCUUAGCUAAAAUAAUACUUAUCAAUAGUGGGAAUAGGUUUUAAUAUUUAGCCCAUCCUGAACGUUUUAAUAUGAAAACAGAGACGCAAAACUUUAUCUGAAUUGAAAGAAAUAUUUGGAAAAGUGUGGCACAACGAUAUAAACAUCGAAUCAAUCUGCAAAUUUGGAGCAAUAUUUGAGAGCUUAUCCAUUCAGAUGAGGAUAUCCAUUCUUAUACGAAAUCGUUCUCCAUUUAUUUGCUAAUCGAUGCACCAAAUUUUGCCAAAUCUCACGGAUGAAUUGGGAACUUUGGAGGCCAUUGUGCAUUCGAAACGUGUAAAGGAUUGAAACAUUAAAGCAAACAUUUUUUACCUCUACCUCUAGUUCUAAUAAGGUAACCAGUCUAAACCAUGUAUAUGGUAUUAUUGUGCGAUUGUUCUUUGACUUAACUUUAUAUCCCAAGCAGUGCUGCCAGGUUUUCAGAGAUUUGAAAAAAAAAAUGGUAAACGUAUCUAAAAGGAAAUGGAAAAGGAUUAAGACCCCAAAAUAUACAAUAUUUGGUGGUAUUAGUGAUUUUGUUAUACUAGCUAUAACUUAAGUAGUUAUGGAUUAUACACCUCAGCUUCCCGCUCUUGAAUGUUGUAGUAUUUGUCGUUUUUUGAAAUAAAAUUAAAAUAUUUUAAUGGCAAUUCGUAGUUUUGGCCAAAAUUUAGUUUUAACUAGAUUAAUUUGACUGAACAUCAGCAUUUCACCAGGAGAAAAAGCAUUUGAGUAGCAAAUAGAGCAAGUGGUUCGAAUGGGUUCUUUCUCCCCGCAUCUUUGUAGGCCAGCACCUACAUAUGCCCGAAAUUAAAUAGUACUGUCGGUAUUUUCCCAUUUUAACAAAUACAUUUUAUCGUACGACUUUAUACUAUCAAUGUCGGUGAUAUUACUAUCUUCCAAAACUUCCCAAACUUCCCCCAAUGACAAAGGAAAAUACAUUGAGUUUCUUAAGAACAUCAAAAUUAUAGGCUACUCUUAAAUUGAACACAACCAAAAUCUUGCUCUUAUGAACAAAGUUUCCAUCAUGAAAUGAAUAAAAAACCACUCCAAUUUUUGUUGUUCAACAAAAAAUCCAGAAAAGAUUAAAUUUUAGUUUAAAGCUAAAAUAAGCUGAAUUUGUUUUCAUAAUAUACUAAACAGCCUAUAUAAGCUAAUUGCAAUUUUUAUAAGUCACCUUUUAAAAAUGCUAGAUCUAGUCUGAAAUCUAGUCUAAACUAUCAGCACUGGUUCCCAACCGUUUUAGUUCGAAAUAUAGAAAAUUCAAUGUACAAACUUUUGAGAUAUCGAAGUUCAACUGUAUAUAUAGCAUAUAUAUAUAAGUAUAUAGUAUGUAAAUACACACGUCGGCAUAAGUAUUUUGACAAAGCUCUACGCAACGUUUAGCGUUGAAUUUUGACGAAUUGCUACGUGUUACAGCUCUCUUAUCUGAUUUACCGCUAACUACAUGAAUGCAUAAAGUAUAUUGCAAAUUAUCUUCGUAGUUGCAUUUUGCGUUUUGUUAAUAUGCUUCUUAUUCUCAUUCGUAAUCUGAUCUUGGCUGGACAAAAGUAUUUUGUCAGAACUUCAAUUAAUUUGCAUUGAUCUGCUGUUGAUAGAAAGCGAAACCAUUAUUACGGAUUAUCUCAGUUUAGAGAUUGUAAAUGCUGAUAAAAAUUGUUUUCGUUCAAUAAUUUGUGAAAUAUGAGUAACCGAAGGGAAUUCAGUGAAUCUCUUACAAAUGAAAUAAUAGUGAAGUUCAACUCUGGUAUUUCAGUGCAAAAUAUCAGUAGAUUAUAGUAUAUUUCACGUCAGACAAACUGCUAUAAAAAAACAAAUUUAAAAAAACCAACACUGCUAAAAUCGCUACACGUUGUGGCAGACCACGAAAGAAAACUGCCAAGGUAGACACUUUUAGUUUGCGGCAAUUUAAGCAGGAUGUCUUGAAAACUCCUCGAUCGGUUGCCAAUGACUUGAAGGAAACAGGAAAUUUUGAUGUCAGCGAACGGACAAUACGUAGAGGUCUUAAGGAAACUGAUUUUUGAACAUAUAUUAUCAGAGCUUUAGUGCAAAUAACACAGCGCAAUAAUUUAAAGCGCCUUGAGUUUGCCAAAAAAUUAAUCGGCAAAUAAUUUUAAUUUUGGAAAAAUUUUUUAUGGAGCGAUGCCAGUGCUUUUCAGUUUCACGGCUCAAAAAAAAAUUGUUUUCGUAAGAAACCUAAAAGAACGUCGCAAAAAAGUGGCACCUAUAUGUGUAAGAUCGGUCCAUGGAGGUGGGACGAAUGUUGUAUGGAUACGUCGCCUACAACGGCUCGCGAAAUUUAGUUCCUGUUGAUGGUAGCAUGAAUAAAGACAAAUAUUUGGAAGUGCUAAACAUUCACGCUUUCUCCUCUGGAGAUAAUUUUAUUGGGGAGUCCUUUACCUUUAAACAGGACAAUGCCCCGUGUCAUAAAGCUAAAGUCGUUACCCAAUUCUUGAAGGACAUUGGGGUUAAUACUUUGGACUAGCCGCCCCAGAGCAAAGACUUAAACAUUAUCUAGAAUCUCUGGUCUUCUAUAAAAAGAAACCGGACUCCAAAUUUGACAAGGAACCGUAAGAAUAUAAUCUGAGAGGUGAAAUCACUCUGGAGAGAAAUUCUGCUGGCUUAUAUCCACAGCUUAGUAGAGUCAGUUCCGAGACGUCUGCAAAAGGUGAUAGAGGCAAAGGGAGGAUAUAUAUUUUACUGAUUCAUCAUAUAAAGUUAGUUCGUUCCAUUAGUUUUUUUUUUUUUUUUACAUUUUAUAAAAUGUCAAAAUACUUAUGCCACCGUCUGUUUGGGAAUAAUUAAUUUUCAUUUCACAAUAAACCCACUUAUCAUACUUUUUUUACAUAUUGUUAAUAGCUUAAUAUAAUACCUAUCUACGAUAAAUAAAUAUAGUUUCUACUUUGAAAAAAUAA